CACCACAGGUGUCAUUUUAAAUGGCACAAGAGAGCAGAUGGAACAGCAAGGAUUUUGAAAAGUCAACUUAGAGCAAUAUGAUGGGGUCAUCACUUUUGUCAAUAUCACCAAAAAUCACUGGAGGUUUGUGUUUGUAUAUGCUCAGACUGACACCCUUUUCAUGCUUGACUCUCUGAGUGGUACAAAUGAAAUGAAAUGAAAAGGCAUGCCAAAAAUUCGGGUAUGAUAGUCUGUUUUAAAAAAGAUAUUUAGCAUGUGUAGAUCCAAAACAGUAAUAAUGGAAACUAAGCAAAGUUCAUGUUGUGUAAGACUACCAUAAUCACACACUGCAAAAAGAAUUACCCCCAAAAGAGGAGCAAUGCGUUAAGUGUGAACGCAAAGAAAUACGUCACAAAGAUGAUCAAUGCUCAAACUGUGGAUACAGACAAAGAGAUCCAGUAGAUGUGCUCUACGACUGGGUAUUGUUUAUCCGGCUGUUGACUUUUCGUUUUAAGUGAAAGCAUGUGUUUUCACAACUACAUUUAAUAAUUACAACACUGUGCAAAUAAAUCUAACAACAUUUCCUAUUUUCCUUCCAGGUUCAAUGUGAAAUUUGUCUGAGGUGGUAUCGUCUCAACAUUAAAGUGCCAGCACAGGAAGAACCAUGGACUUGUGAUUUGUGUCUGUAAGCUAUUCAGUUAGAUGAGCUUAUGCUGAAAGUGUUCUUACAUUGUAAGAAAAAAGGUUUUGCCUAUUUGAUAUGUUAUGUAAAUGCUUUACACUUUUUUAGUAUUUGGUAUAGGCUUCAUAUUGUUGUGUUGCUUGUUGUCCUCUGCUGGUCUUUUAUGUGAAUGAAUUUUGGGGGAAGAAAUACUUGCAUUUGGGAGGUUGAAAUAUUUGUGAUAUUGGGUAGUUUACUUUUUAUUAUCUACAAAAACAUUUAAAACACCUAAAAUGUUUUUUUUUCCUUCUUUUUUUUCAUAAUUAGGAUGCAAGUGAAGUGAUAUGAACAAUGUAAGGGUUUUCAAUAACAACCUCUUUUACUUUAAGAAAGUGUUGUGGUUUAUGCUCUAUGUAAAAAAAUGACUUGUCAAAGAUCUUUGAUUACAGAAGUAUUUUUACUUUAUUGUACAACCAAGGAGAUAGCCUCUUCAGGAGACCGCUCCUGAUUUCUGCUAUCGUCUCACUAUAUAUACAGGCAAAAGCCCUUCGCCAUACAUUUUAUAGAUAUUCUGAGAAAUGUAACAUUUACCAUGUGACACAUAUUCUUCAGCUUGAAAUAUAAAUUUCCAUACAUGUAAACACAUUCCUAAAUUUUCUCAUACAGCAUACUUUUUUUACUAGCAAGCGCUUUCUGCUCUUUGUUCAUGUAUGAUUAUAUUUGUGGAGGGAGACAUGCUUAUAUUAUGCUGUAUUAUUAUCAAUUUUACUAUAAUAAAAUCUUCUUCAAAGGCAACUAUACAUUAGUGCUUUACUUUCUUAUUAUUUUGAACAUUAUUUUGUUUGUUUUUAUAAAAAAAUUCAUAAUCAUUUAUAGUCAUGUAUGUAGUUGUCAUUGAUUUAUCAUUAUUAUGGUAGUACUUUAAAACAUAAAUAAUACACAGAUACAAAACAUAAAUUACUGGUUAAUCA